rfam:Schistosoma rodhaini strain Burundi genome assembly, scaffold: SROB_scaffold0006562
AUAUGGCUGACGAGUCCCAAAUAGGACGAAACGCGCGUCCUGGAU